rnacentral:rRNA from 1 species
GAUGAACGCUGGCGGCGCGCCUAACACAUGCAAGUCGAACGGCACCUGCCUUCGGGCAGAAGCGAGUGGCGAACGGCUGAGUAACACGUGGAGAACCUGCCCCCUCCCCCGGGAUAGCCGCCCGAAAGGACGGGUAAUACCGGAUACCCCGGGGUGCCGCAUGGCACCCCGGCUAAAGCCCCGACGGGAGGGGAUGGCUCCGCGGCCCAUCAGGUAGACGGCGGGGUGACGGCCCACCGUGCCGACAACGGGUAGCCGGGUUGAGAGACCGACCGGCCAGAUUGGGACUGAGACACGGCCCAGACUCCUACGGGAGGCAGCAGUGGGGAAUCUUGCGCAAUGGGGGGAACCCUGACGCAGCGACGCCGCGUGCGGGACGGAGGCCUUCGGGUCGUAAACCGCUUUCAGCAGGGAAGAGUCAAGACUGUAC